rnacentral:rRNA from 1 species
UGGGACCUACGGGGGGCAGCAGUGGGGAAUAUUGCACAAUGGGCGAAAGCCUGAUGCAGCAACGCCGCGUGAAGGAAGAAGGCCUUCGGGUCGUAAACUUCUGUCCUUGGGGAAGAAGAACUGACGGUACCCAAGGAGGAAGCCCCGGCUAACUACGUGCCAGCAGCCGCGGCAAUACGUAGGGGGCAAGCGUUAUCCGAAAUUAUUUGGCGUAAAGAGUACGUAGGUGGCAACCUAAGCGCAGGGUUUAAGGCAAUGGCUCAA